rnacentral:tRNA from 1 species
AGCUCUGUAGUGAUUAACACAUUAAAUUGCAAAUUUAAAAAAGUUCCUUCUUUGGUUCCGGGGCUU